UUUUUUUUUUUUUUCUCUCUUCAGAUUUUGGAAUUGGGAUUUAUUGAAAGAAAUAAGUAUCGAGAGUUUCGUUACUAGUUAACAUGAUUUCCCUUACUAUUCAUGCCUUUACCGUUUAUGUUGUUAUACAUUCUGAGGUAUUCAUGUUUUUAUGGUUUACUCUUGUUAAACAACUUAUAUAUGCUGCUGAGAAAAUCCUUUUUGAAUUAUGAAUAAUAUGAUCAUGAUUCAUGAUCCAUGCCACGGGAUAAAUAAGUAUUUUGUGACACUUGCAAAAUUUAAUCAUAAUAACUGUGCAAUAAUAUCACCCUUGUGAAAAAGAAAAACACUAGCAAAAUCUCUCUUUGUUCCAACAUUACAAAAUAUUUUUGGACGAAGGAAUGAUGUAGAAUUUGAUUUCAAGUACUGUUACAAAGAUGUCAUCUUAACAAAUGAUUAUGGUUGAACCCAAAUACAUGAACUUUCUUUGAUAGCCUGGAGAAGAAAAAAAAAUCAGAGUAUAGCCGCGCGGCUAUACUUAUUUUAACACAUGAGCACCUAGUCGAUGGGGUCCUAUCCUAUUUCAAAUAGUAUAGCCGCGGGGCGAUACUCUGUUUUUCAAAUUUUUUUUAUUUAUAAAAAUAGUGUAGCCAAGCGGUGAUACUCGGUUUUUUAAUGUUUAUUUAAAAAUAGUAUAACCCCACGGCUAUACUUUAUUUUUUUUAAAAUAGUAUAAUCGAUCCGCUAUACUCUUUAUAUAUAGAAAUAUAUAAAUCUAAUAAUUACUAUAAGAGUAGUUUAGAGUAUUAUCCAUUACUAUUAGGCCAUUACCCGAGUCUCUAUUGUCCCCUUUUCAUUUUUUUACUUUUUCAGAGUUAUUGCCAGUAUUAAGAAUUUACCACUUUCAUGUUUAAUACACGUAUUUUUUUACAAAAUUUUCAACAAUAUACACAAAAGUCAAGUAUUAUACACAUAAUUUUCACAGAUUAUUGAAUAAAAAAUAUAUUAAAAUAUUAUAUAGUGACCGAACUUUUCAGUUGUAACUUGCCAAAAUUGUUAAUGAUUACUAAACAAUUUAUCAUGCAACUAAAUUUUACUAGUUUGUAGAGUUGAAAUAGCAAAUUAAUAUCUAUAAAAUAUAAACUAAUACCAGAGAUAAAGGAGCAAAACCAUAAACAGUGCCGUGGCUGCAUGAUUGAUGUUGAAAAUAUUUCCCGUGAAGUGAAAUUAUAUGAAGUGCAGUUGCUUGUUUGCCAUGAAUGCAAAUUUUCAGAUUUGAACUUGGUCUUUGUGUAACAUUUCUGUUAACUCUGGCCAUCAUGCUAUGAGUUUUACAUACUGAUGAUCUCAAAACCCGUCUUCCAUUAAGGGAUGGACUGGUAGGAUAUCACUUGAAAAUUUUCAAUAAUUAUACAGACUGGUGUUUAUGCAGUAUCCCUCAUUUACAUCAUAUUCUCAAGAUCACAUUAACAUGUUCUUGACUUCCAACUUCCUCAUUUUUCUAUUUUAUGAGUUGCAGGAAACCCGAUCAGCUCGAUAGAAAGAUCGUUUCCCUGCCCGUGCAGCUGCAUCCAAUAAUGUUCAAUAUCCAGUCCAAGCAUGCCAUAGCUAGAAACCAAGGGAGAAAGGGAGGUGGAGAUUACUAUGUUAUAGGUUUUGUUGAUAUAUUUGGGUCCAUACUUAUAGAGGAGCUUGUAAACAUGUACUCAUAGACUUUUAUAUUUAAGGUCAGGUCUGUUAAGAAUAUAUCCAUUUCUUUAUUAGUUUCCGCUGAGAUUAGAGAAAAUUUUAUAAUGUACCGUGAAAAUUAAAGAAUUCAAAACUUGAAUAGAUCAGAAUAUUUAGAUUUGGAGCCUUUGGGAUCAAAUUCAAUUAUAAAUAAUUUAUUUUCAAGUGCUUUGUGGUACAAAGAGGUUUGAAAGACAUCCAUCAAUGAGAAUAAUUACACAUAUACGUACUCUUUAUAUGUUCAGAGAGUUCAUAAGAAACCACUAAUUAAUUUAGUAGUUGAAAACAAAAACUGCAUUUGUUAAUUCAUAUGUAUGUAGAUUCACUUGAAUUUGUAGGACAAAUUAUAUCCAGCAAAUCUUCAAGAAGUCAAAUCGAAGAUGCUAUCAGACAUCGAAUUUGUUGAUGAUACAGCAUCAAUAGCCCUGAUUUGAUAUAUGUUUGUUUGAAAAAUAGAAUGUAAACAAAAGGAAGAACCAUGAGUGGGCACAGUCCAGUUUGGUCUUGUUCUCAUCACAAAUUGGAAUCAAAAUUGGUACUAUUCAUUCGGUUCGAUUUAGAGUCAGUUUGGUAUUGUUGUGCUAUGAAAAUAAUCUCUUUCAGAUUUGCUGUGAGAGAAAUAAACUGUCAAUAAAAGCAAUUUAGCAUUUGGUAAACUGUAUUGUGAAAGUGAUAUUAGUACAACAAUUAAUUUAUAAGUGCUUGGUAAAAUUAUUUGUAAAAAUGAUGUGAGUUGUGUAUAAUGACUAAAAAGGACAAAAUGUUAAAAUGAUUAGUUUGAUAAAAAGAAUUAACACUUUCACUUUGACUUAUACAAUUCUUUUAUUUAAAUAUGUUUCUUAAGUUAACCAUCACACCUCAAAAUUUGAUUCAAUCAUGAAAAAAAUGUAAUAAACAAACCUUCACAGCAAAAACAAAUCAUGGAAAUAAUAAACUCUAGCAAUUUAUAAACAUGCUACCUCCAUUAGAAUGCCAAAUUGCCAAUCAAACUAUCUGGAAAUCAAAACUUGAAACAUGAAUGAAUUUCUUUUGUUUAAAAAGAAGAAAAAUAAGGCUUAAAUGUCAAAAUGGUCCCUGUGUUUUAUCCAUUCGGUCAAUUUAGUCCUUGUGCUUUUAAUUUGCAUGCGUCCAAACACACAUAAAGCCUUUGAAAAUGAGGAGGAUCCACUUUCAUCAACAUACUACUGCUGUUAUUAGUCUGUCUAAUAUCUUCACAAUACUCCCAUAACUUUUCGUAUUGUUGAGCAUAAGUGCCCUCAAUCAAAGUUUGAGCCUUCCUCUUUGCUUUAUAUCAUUGAUCUGUGGAAACUUAAUAUCCCAAUUCUCUAUGAACCUCUGAUUGAAGCGUUGUCUUUUUAAUCUUAGGAUCAUCUUUAAUCCUACUCAUAUACCUUUGAGAAAGGAAAGUUGAAGUGAUGUUUUUGUUAUGGAAACCUUUGGAACAUGAAUGCUUAGGAGUGUAGCUCUUAAUUUGAUAAGUGUUUUCUCCCUGCAUCAAAGAAGCAUACAACCUCCACUUACAAUCUUCCUUGCACUUAGCAGACAACCUGAACUUAUCAUUUUUCACUACCUUGCAUUCAUAUGACCCUAAGGACAGAGAAGAAGAUUUCCACCCUUCCAAUCGUUUCUUUAUGCGUUCUCUGAUGAAGCCAAGGGCUGACUUCUAUGAUCUUCCCCAAAUUGAAGGCAGACCCAAAUAAAUUCUAGGAUUAUCAAUACCAGUAAUUCCCAUUGAAGAGCAGAUACUUGCUUGCCGGUGAUGAAGGGUGUUCUGGCUGAAGUAAAUACAUGACUUCCGGAAAUUAAUUUCUUGACCUGAGGCAAGACAAUACUCUUGGAGAACCUUCUUAAGACGAGCACAGUUAGAUUCCUCAGCCUUAAAAAAGAACAAAGAGUCAUCUGCAAAGAAAAUAUGAGAAAGAAUUGGAGCACCUCUCGCCACUUUAACUCCUGCAAGUUCACCCUCGUUAACAAGCUUCGAAAUAUUAAGGGACAACACUUCAUAGAUAAUGAGAAAGAGAUAUGGGGAUAGUCUCCUUGUCUGAGUCCUCGAGAAGGGAAGAAGGAAGCUUCAGGUUGUCCAUUUAGGAGGAUAGAGAAAGAGACUGUCGAAAUACAGGUUGGGUCAUCGAUAUGGGACACACAUGCACACCAAGAAUACAACGAUAUAUGGUGAUUCACCCGAAUGGGCUAUGUCCACGUUGAGUUGUACAGUUGUUUUAACUAUACGGUUGUUACAUUGUACAUAGGCUUGAGAGCCUUUGAGAGAGUGAAAUAACAACUUAGGUUACAAAUUCUAUAGUAACGAUGCCACAUAUGAACUAUAGAUGUGGCUAAUAUGAAGGUCCACGUAAGGAGUUCACAUGAGUUAUCCAUUGUGGGCUUGCUUGUGGGCUUUAGUGAGGCCCAAACCAUGGUACCAACACUAAUGUUCCUUCAUACAAAUUACAACUUGCAAGAAUAUUUUGGAGCUACUUGCAUUCAUACUAUUUUAUUUUGUAAAAAGAAAAAUAUUAACCAAAUCUCAGUUCAAGACACAAGCAAAAAAACGUUAUUAGAAAAAUAAAAAGGCCAAAGCCAAUUCAACAAAUAACAUAUAGGCGAACUAGAACAAAAUACAAGAUCAAAUAAUUAAACCAAGACAUAGUUUAUCAUGAAAAACAAAAAGAUGAUAAAUACAUUAGGCCAUCUCCGAUGAUAAGCUGUAAGCAUAGUAAGGGGCGUAGGAGAAAAGCAUAGUCUUUAAUAUCGUUUGUAAAAACAAAAAAAACAAAAAAAAAAGGGGGAAUUAUCUUCUCACACGAUUAUAGAGAGAGAGUAUUUGACCGUUGAAAAUGAGGGUGAAAAUACAUGGAAGGAAGCAGAUUUUGUGUAGUAGCAUGUGAUAUGGUCAAAAAACGCAUAAAUAUACUCUUUGAUUGAAUUUUUGAGAUCAUGAAGGCAGACGUAUCCAAUUCCGAGGUGGGAGGAAUACUUGCCGACAAUAUGAAGUUUCCUAGGAAUUUAGAGGAAAAUAGAGAAUUCAUCAACUAUAUACAAUGAAGAUUCCUAGAAAAUAAAAGGAACAUAACAUAGCUACCCCUCUUACGAUCAGGUCUUCCUUUGUUAUUGAAUACCCCCAUGGACCCCAUCAAACAAAUAAUAAUUUUAAUCAAACCUUGCUUUCACCUCCCCCUCUCCAAGUACUCACUCAUUUGUGCUAUUUGUGAGAUUCAUAAAUCCGUUUUUUAUUCCAUUUUGAUAUUAAGGAUGUGGACGUGAAGAAAUGUCUUAUAUAAUAGUUCAAGUCUUUAGAGCAUUUAUAAUGGGCUCCUUAAAUCACAUUCUUAGAUAAAUUUUAAGGAGGAAUUGGAAAAAUACAACUCCAACCAUGCUCCAUAUCCAUCUCCUAAAUUACAGAGACCUCUAGGAGCUCUUAAAUCUGAGGAGAGAGAAAGAACUCAUAAUGGCUCCCUAUAAUUUAAUGUUGCUUUAUUUAAUCAGUACUAGCCCCUUGGUACAUGCUUGUGCCAAUUGGUUUUCUUUUUUAUUUUAUUAUUUUAUUUUUAGAAUUAAAAAAAGAUAACAUAGGUAGUUAUGUUCCAUAAAAGUAUGACCUAUAAUCUGAUUUUAUUUUAUUAAUGCUAAUUCUUUUUAUAUUACUUUUUAAUAGAUAUUGACCAAUUACAAAAUAGUUAUGGCAUUUUUGACUCUCUAAAUUAAAAAGCAUGAUUGGAGUUUAAAUUUUAUAAAAACUUCUAAAAUAAUUUUUAUAUAUUUUUAAUUAAAUUUUAAUUAAAAAAUAAAAAGCACGAUUAUGGAUGCUUAAUGUGCUCAACUUCCUAAUGUGGACAUUUCUUUACAUUCCUCUCAGACGUCCCCACACGGAUGGACAUUUCGUCACAUUUCUUGCACGCAGGGACUACAGAUGGAGGCCAGUGAGACCGCCGAACUUUAAAUUGACUAGCCCUCCCAAGGUCUUUCCUUGUAGUAGACUACAUAUAUAUUUAUUUAUUGUUUUGUUAAUGCAUGAAUUUUCCCCUGUAGACAAUAUUUAAUGGCCACCUUCAGCUCCGUCUCUGUCGAAGCACUCAUUGUGCAAAAUAUUAACUGAUGAUCAGGUAUUUGGAAGCAUGUAUCCACCCACAUUUUACACAGACUAGAAUCUAGAUUAAAAUUAUAUAUAAUAUAUAUUUUUUAUUAUUGUAUAAUUAAUUAAGUUUUCGAUUCUCUAUAUUGCAGGAGGGGCUAUUAAUGGCUUCAGCAAUUAUGGAGAUAUCCCAAGAGAUAGCUGUGGAGUUAGUUUCUUCUACUCUUCUAAUUAUAUUAUUUCUUAAUUUCUCAUCUUUUUUUUAUAAUUUAAAGAAAUAGAACUGUAUUGAAACAAUCUGAUCUCAUGUUAUUGUUAUUUCAAUCUGAUCCUAUUUCAGAAGCCAAUAUUAUAUUGGAUAUAUUUCACUUUAUCACCCGCAAGUUUUUCGAAAUUCUGACUUUACUACACAAAGCUUUUAUCUUUUCACUUUCAUUCCCAUCGUUUACUUUUACCAUCAGUUCAUGUUCUCUGUUAACCCAUAAAAUAUAAGUAAAUAAAUAAAUAAACUUACAAAUAUAAAAAACCAUUAUCUAGCUGCCUCCACCUUCUUCUCCUCCGUGCACACCACCAUCUCCUCACCGUCUCUCUCUCUUCGGAUGAACCCAUUCGCAACCCCAUCUCCAGAUACAACCCCAAACAACCAAACCGCACAGCGAGGAAAGCUCAACCCAACCACCAUUCCCACCACCCCCAGCGAACCAAAUCACCCCUGCCUUGCGCUUUCUCCCUCACUGCGCACACCACCCCAUCCCCCAAAAUUCUCAGCACACACAACCUCUUAUUUUCCUCCCCAAAUUCAACAAUUUUUUUCCCAAAUCCAAGACUAAUUCAACGAUUUUUUCUCCAAUCCAACCACCAACGAAUUCACCCUACGAGGACAUUAGAGUACUACUUGAUCUUCACAAACCCAAUCAUCAGCUUCAGUGUCUGAUCUGAAAAAACACACGCCCUUUGAAAUUAGAACAAUACCCAGAUAUGUAAAAACACACACCCUUCCCCGACCCGCUCCCUCCCUCUCUCUCUCACCUUCUGUUUUCCUCUCUACCCAGACCACCCCACAAGCCCAACGCCACCAUACAACUACCCCUAUCCCCACUCGAGAUCCACCCCCAGCCCCAGCCUCACCCGAGACCAUCCCCCAACCCCUGCCCAAAUCCCAGCCCCUCCUCUAUCUCUAUUCCCUGUCGUUAGUUGCAGAGAGAGAGGAGAGAGUUUUCAAAAUUUUGUUUUUUUAUUUUAUGGUUUUUUAUUUUUUUAAUUGUUAAUUGAUUCUUUUAUUUUUUUUAUUUUUUUUAUCAGUUGAUGUGGCACAAUAUGUCUAUUUUUAAUGUGCCAUUCAUUGUCAUGUCAUCAUUUAACAAAUAACUUAACAAUUUGAUUAAUAGAGAUAUGAAAGUGAUAGAAAAAUUAAAUUUUCGGUACGAAGUUGAUACGAAAAAAACUUCAUAUAGCGAAGCUAUAAUUUUGAGAAACUUACAAGUACUAAAGUGAAAUUUACCCUAUUAUAUAUGAUCUGAUUGUCUUCUUAUUCAAUGCCUCUCUUGAAGUUUCUUCUUUCUUUUUUGGUUGGAUAAAAAAAAGGGCCCAUAAUAGAGGCCCAAUUUCUCUUGCCUACGUAAAGGCUCUCUCACACUAGACAAGGCAGAUACCAGUUCUUUACUUUGUACUAAUUACUGCAUUAAUCUUGUUGAUCCAAGAUGCAUAUACACGUGUUAUAAUAUGAAUAGACGAUAUCGUUUGUUUUCCCUAAUCCAAUUUUGUGCAUCAACAUUUGUUUGUUAUAUCUUUUUCAGCAUUGUAGAACGUAUACCAAGAGAAUCGUCACUACGAAGGUAAUAAAAACGAAAGUACGCAUGGAUCCAUAAAGAACCUUAUAUCAUAUAAAAUUUAAUUAGGGUUUUAUUUAUCUAUAUUUGUAGUACCUAAUUUUUGAUAUGUUUAUGAUGUGUUUUCAGUUGGGCAAUUGAGGAAUCUGCCACUAUAAAUGAAGGUCAUAGAUCAAGUAGAGAAUGGCCAAAAAUAAUAAAGAGUAUUUUUUAUCGAGGUCGGUCAUUUCUUCCAAAGUGGAAGAGGGCAUUUUUAGCAUCAUGUGUAUUUGGGGUCUUAAUAGAUCCGUUAUUCUUUUAUAUUCCUAUUGUCAACAAGGAUAAGAAGUGCAUCGGGUUAGAUAAAAGUUUGAAGGGAGCCGUUAUUUCACUACGAUCGACAAUGGAUCUAUUUUAUUUAGUGAACAUUGUUAUUCAAAUUUAUAUCGAACCUAAAGUUCCAACAAUUAGGGUCAUGGGGAGAUCAUAUCUUCAUACCAUAGUUUUGACAAAAGGAACCAUAUUAGUUGAAGAUGCUUUGGCAAUGGCUAACAGGAUUUGGAGGAUCUCAUCACAUAUCUUAAUUGACAUUUUAGCUGUUCUUCCCAUUCCACAGGUAUGAGAAAAAUUGGUUUACCAAUCUCUCUUUUAAAAGUAUUUGAAAUUCGGAUAUGUGAAUAUAAGCUAAAUUAACUGUUGGCUUAAUCCAUUGCACUGUGUCCAGGCAGUGAUCCUUAUCUUCAUGGACUCUAGUUCUUUGAAUACGAGGAAGUUUUUGGCUUUUCUUGCUCUGUUACAAUAUGUACCACGAGUUCUUCGUAUCUACUUAUUGUGUACAAAAUUCAACAAGACUCCUACCAGAGAGACUGAAAUAUGGAUUUUAUUUAAAGGCGCAUUCAGUUUCUUUUUGUACAUCCUUGCUAGUCAUGUAAGUUUCAAUAUUCAUAUAUUAAUUUAUCUCAAGUGAUGCUCCAUUUGGUUUCCAAGUUUUGGUUGGAUUUCUUGGCUGGAAACCAAGUUCUCAAAUUAAUCAACCUUGUCACCAAUUUAUGAACAAAAUAAAACAUCAUUUAAUUUCCUAUGAAUACUUUGUAGCAACUUUUCUCAAAAGUUUGUUUGCUAACUUAUUAACUUGUUGAUGUUCUUAGGUAUUUGGAGCUUUCUGGUACUUUUUAGCUAUCCAGCGGGAGGCGGCUUGCUGGCAAAAUGCUUGUCGAAACAACAAUGGAUGUGAACCAACUACCUUCUACUGCAAUGGUCGUACAAUCAAAGACAUCACAUUUCUGGACGACUUAUGCUCUAUAAAUCCACACAAUACUAAUGCAACACCCUUCUGUUUUGGUAUGUUUGUUGAGGCUGUCCAGUCUGGUGUGUUGGAGUCAACAAAUUUACCGAAAAAAUUCUUUCAUUGUUUCUGGUGGGGCUUGCGAAAUCUAAGGUUUGAACAUAAUUUUGCAUUACUGUAUUUUUUAGAAGGAACAAAUUUACAAUUGUCUAGAUUUAAAACAUGUGGUUUUCUUAACGUUACUCUUUUACGUUGCCUAACAUCACAUACACAUAUGCAUAAAAUGGUGUUUUAACUUGUAAUGUCUUUUAACAUAGACGACAGGUCCUAGAAUAUUUUAUUACCUGCAGUACAUUGAAUAUAUUUCCUCUGUUUCUAUUCUGCAGUUCUCUUGGGCAAAACCUCGAGACGAGUAACUAUACAUGGGAAAAUAUCUUUGCCAUUUUUAUUUCUCUAAGUGGCUUGCUCCUGGUUCUACUAUACCUCACUACAAAUUUGAAGGUUGGUGCCAGAACUUCUAAAUUAACUUAGGGCUCGUAUGGGAGUUGGUAACUAGAUGGUGGACAUGGAAAUUAGGGUUACAAGAACUCAUGAUUGUCGUGUAACAGAUAUGUAUGGAGUUGGUAACUAGAACAUCAGCGAAGAUGAGAAUUAUACGGCAGCUGAAAAUGAAAGAUCUAGAGGUACAAUUCUGGUUAUCUGAAAAUGACAUCCCUAAGAAUAUGAAGGCGACCAUCAUGCAAAAGGUGCACAAACAACUUGAACAAAACAAAGAUGUUCGUGUGGAGAAUAUCCUCUAUAUUCUUCCCUUGGAACAAAAGAGAUUUAUCAAGCGACAUCUCUGCUGGCCUACAAUGAAGAAAGUAAGUUCCCCUCCUCUCCAAAGCGUUCAAUUUUUCGUUAUUUUAAUUAGUAAAGGGAGUACUGGAAUUCCAAAAUAGUUGUCUCGUUUCUUAUUAAUUUUAUAAUUCGUAGUUUAGUUUUUCUUGGUUUAACAUGUCGUACCGUUUAAGUUUUUAAAUUAACAUUUAAAAUUAGGUGCCAAUGCUUCGAGUUAUGGACGAUCACGUGUUGAAAGAAAUCUUUGACAAUCUCAAGCCAGUGAGCUAUACAGAAGACAAAUGUAUAAUUGGAGAGGGUGAACCACUUGUUAAAAUGCUCUUCAUCACUCGAGGCAUUUUGUUGACCUACACAACUAACAAUGGUGCUAGAAGAAGUAGUGGAGGUUCUUCAACCACCAAGUGUCUUGCCAAAGGUGAUUUCUAUGGAGAAGAACUUCUAACCUGGGCAUCAACAUUCUCCCCGCUUUCAGACUUACCCAUCUCCACAACAUUUGUCAAGUCCCUCACAAAAGUUGAAGCAUUUGCGCUCAUGGCCAAUGACUUGAAGACUAUAGCGUCUAAAUUCUGGAGGCAUUUUAGAACGGAUGCUCGGAUGCAGGUACAUCUCUCUGCAAAUCUUAUACAAACCAAUUGGCGCCGCCGCUAUACAAGGAGGGGCCGGUGGUAUAGCUUGAAAGAGCUGGAGAUUGCGACGCGUGGAUUUUCUCCAGAGAACGUGAUUGGAGGAGGAUACGACGUCGUUUUCAGAGGAAUUUUGCAGGACGGCCAUGUCGUGGCGGUCAAGAACCUUCUCAACGACGGGUACGUGUCUUUUUACUCAAUUUCAAAUCUUCCCCUCUUUUUUUUUCAUCGAAAUAUUUCUUGAAUCAAUAGCUAAUAUAGAGUAAACCUCGUUGGCUUCACUGAAUCAAUAACUAAUAUAGUAAUCACUGUUUAUACACUCAGUGACCUGCUUUUCUUUUGAUUAAAAAGAAAAAGAGCCUCCCUUUGUUCCGCUGUACGAGGAAAAGAAAAUUACUAUGCGCUUUUAACACUUUUAUUCUUCAGUCUUUUUAUUUUUAGUAUCUUUACUGUAUACAAUUUCAACUUUGUUCUUUCUUCAUGCCUCAUUGUUAUGUCUGAUCUUCAGAGCUUGUUUUCACUUUUCAUCAUUGAUUUUCUACUUUUGAUUGACCAAAUAUUACUUUGUCAUCGAAACAUUCCCAUUUUAAUAUUAAAUAUAUUAAAAUACCAUACCAGAAACAAUAGGAGCAAAAACAUAAACAGUGCCGUGGCUCCAUGAUGGAUGUUGAAAAUUUUUCCUGUGAAAUGAAAUUAUAUGAAGUGCAGUUGCUUUUUUGCCAUGAAUGCAAAUUUUCAGAUUUGAACUUGGUCUUUGUAUAACAUAUCUGUUAACUCAAAAUUUAAUUGCUGCUUGCCAUCUUACAUAUAGGGGUCAGGCAGAGAUACUGUUUAAGGCGGAAGUGGAAGCCAUUGGUAAAGUAAAGCAUAAGAACUUGGUGGGUCUAAUUGGCUAUUGUGCUGAAGGCCCUCAAAGGUAACUCUAUUGUCAUAUCUUUUAGGUGAAUUCAGAUUAACCUGUUUCUUCCUCUAAUUAACAUGUCCAUGGGGACUUCUACUGCUCUGCCAGGAUGCUUGUACAUGAAUACAUUGACAAUGGCAAUUUGGAGCAAUGGUUGCAUGGUGAUGUUGGGCCUGUCAGCCCUCUGACCUGGGAUAUUCGAAUGAAAAUAGCUGUCGGGACAGCAAAAGGGUGAGAUAAUUCUGUAUUCUUCUUGUUCAUUUUGCUUGUAUUUAACGAUUAUAUGUCUCAGUAUGACAGGAUCUGUAACAUAUUGCACUGCUUUUGUCAUUCUCACGAUCUCCCUACUUUGGCUAUGAAAAUAUAUUAUCCUGCAUCACUAUAAACCUAUUCUUGUUUUUCUAACAGGCUGGACUACUUGCACGAAUGGUUAGAACCCAGGGUGGUGCAUCGUGAUAUAAAACCCAGCAACAUUCUUCUGGAUAGAAAAUGGAACCCGAAAGUAUCAGGUUUUGGCGUGGCCAAGCUCUUAGCACCUGAGUCAAGCUAUGUGACUACAUCUGUAGUGGGGACAAUGGGGUUAGUUCUUUCUUGAAUUCUGAAGAUAUUUCAAUGAUACAUUACCUGGAUGGUAUCUCUACUAUGUUGUAGUACUGAUUCUUCACUGUAAUUUUCUGUAGAUAUAUAUGUCCAGAGUAUGUCAGGACAGGUAUGCUUAACGAGUGGAGUGAUGUAUAUAGCUUUGGAAUUCUACUCAUGGAGAUAAUUACAGGAAGAAGACCAAGUGACCCUUCCAGACCAGAUGAAGAGGUAAAGCCAAGUUUUCAUUCUCUGUUUCCUAGAAGCGCUGCAACAAUGUCCUAACUGUUUCAGUUGAGGUAUAUCAGAUAUUCCUGGUUGAUUGGUUUAAAGAAAUGAUCCAAAGUCGCCGUGGGGAGGAGGUUGUAGAUCCUCUGAUAGAAGUUCGGCCCUCUCCAAGAGCUAUGAAGCGAGCAUUGCUGGUUUGUCUCCGCUGUACAGAUUCAGAUGUCAACAAGCGACCAAAAAUGGGGCAAAUUGUUCAUAUGCUUGAGGCAGAUGACUUCCCUGAUUGUUCUGAAAGUCCUUUCUUAUCAUGUAUGUUCCUGUCCCACUUAGAAUUUUCUUGGUCUGGUCGAUCACCAGUAUUAUGACUUUGCAUAAAUUUUGAGUCGUAUAUUAAAGAGUUGCCCUCUCCACAAAUUUCUGCCUUUGCAUGGUUUGAUCUCAAAACCUGUCUCCUAUUAAGGUGGAGAGGCAGCACUUGGUCUGAUGAUGGGACUGGUAGGAUAUAAAUUAUGUAGAGAGACUGGUGUUUUGUAGAUGCAUUGCAGAUGUGUUAUUUCUUCAACAUCAAGAUCACAUUAACAUGUUCUUCAUUUUCAGCUUCCUCAUUUUUCUGUUCUAUAAGCUGCAGGAAACCUGAUCAACCCGAUAGAAAGAUCAUUUCCCUUCCCAUGCAGCUGCAUCUGAUAAUGUUCAAUAUCCAAUCCAAGCAUGCCAUGGAUAGAAAUGAAGGGAGAUAUGGAAGUGGAGAUUAUUAUGUUUUGGCACAGGAGGCAGUUCCUGAGGCCAUUUGACUUCUUAUCAUGAUUCUCCAUUAGUAUAUAGAAAAGAUAUUACAAGCCUUGAAUGUGCAUAUAAUUUUUUAUAUAAUUUUUUCCAUGAUCUUAUAGAUUUUGUUGAUAUAUUUGGAUUCAUACUUAGGAGCUUGUAAAUAUGUACUUAUAUCUUUUGAUAUGUAAGGUGAGGUCUGCUAAGAAUAUCCUUUAAAAAAAAAAAAUCAGAUUCCGAUGCAAUUAGAGAAAAUUUUAUAAUCGAGUCCCAAAUGGCGAAGCCUACGUCUUUUGUACCCUAGUUUAACAACUUAUACAUGCAACAGAAUUUUUUAUAUGAAAUAAAGAGAAAUUAUGCCAAAUGAAUCUUCUCUCAAGUUCUUGCAAAAUAAAUAAAUAUACUAACUUGGAAGAAGGGUGAAUCAAGAAAAUUUGUACAUAACCCACCAAUAGUGGUUGCCAAAUGACAUAUCAAAUGGGCUUUGUACAAUUUUUAACUGUUUGCUUCUUCUUCUGCAUUUGUAAGCCUUAGAAACAAAAAUUGAAGAAACAGCAAGUAUAUCAUCAAUUCCAGUCAAAUCAACAAUUAACCUAUAAAUGAAAAUAAGAAUAUACCCAAGAAGAUAGUAACAAAUUUAGCAACAUAAAUUUUUAAUAACCUUUUCAGAACGAGGAAUAAAUUAAACAUAUAGGGUCUGAUUGUAAUUAGGCUAAACUUCAAGAGUGUAAUCUUAUAAUUAAAACUCUCUAAAUAUAAAAAGUUGUUUGAAAAAAUAUAAAAUUAUAUACGUUUUCCCAACACCAUACAAUCCUAAAAGAGGUUGAUAGAAUCGUAUUUAGAGCUCAGAUGAAAUCUUUGGGGCUCUAAAAACAACACUCUCACAACAAGAGGACUCUAUAUAUGGAGCUCUAUAUUCAAUAUAAUUUUAUAUAUGUGUGAAUUUUUUUGGAAAAAAGCUAUUUUGCUUGAAUGUAUAUUAUGAUAUGUCAGUUUUUGUGUUUGAACAUUUCGACAAAAAUCAAAAUCGAAAUUUGGAUCAGAUUUGAAAAUCUUAUCUAUUUAUAAAUAAUAAAUAAAAAAACUUGAUUGUUACUUUGAAAAAAAAAAAAAAAAAAAAAACCCAAACACAAACCUUAUCUAGCUCAUUCCUUUCAUUAGUCACAUUAAAUAAAAAUAAAAGAAAGAGGAAGCAUCCGUUGGUCAAGAAGAGAGUAUGAGGAGCCAUAGUCGCAAGGCAACUCACCGACAACACAAAUUGGCAGCUUUUUCUCCAUGCGGGCCUUAUUGAGUUUCAUGGGCUCAACUACAAACAUAAAUAUGUGUAUAGCUCUAGUGGGGCUCAAUCAUUUAAGGUCUCAAAAUUGAACCACUGGAGAUGACUUUUUUGCUUUGGUUGCUAUAUAUUGCAGCCUAAUUAGACCUGACAUUCGUGUCGCGCUCGUGUCAUUGCCAAAGCUAGAUGGUGUUGACAUGGAAAUUAGGGUUAAAAGAAUUCGUGAUUGUCGUGUAACAGAUAUGUAUGGAGUUGGUAACUAGAACAUCAGCCAAGUAGUGGAGGUUCUUCAACCACCAAGUGUCUUGCAAAAGGUGAUUUCUAUGGAGGAGAACUUCUAACCUGGGCAUCAACAUUCUCCCCGCUUUCAGACUUACCCAUCUCCACAAGAUUUGUCAAGUCCCUCACAAAAGUUGAAGCAUUUGCACUCAUGGCCAAUGACUUGAAGAUUAUAGCGUCUAAAUUCUGGAGGCAUUUUAGCAUGGAUGCUCGGAUGCUGGUACAUCUCUCUGCAAAUCUUAUACAAACCAACCGGCACCUCCACGAUACAAGGAGGGCUAUAAUUUUUUUUUUCAAUGAAACUUUAAUUCUUUGUUUUGGGCGGAUAUAUGCUUCUACUGUGCAUGGCAUGAGAAGCAGAUGUAUUGAUCUAAGUUCAACGGGGUGAGGACGAAACACACCCCGGUAUUGCAAAUUUCUGUUCUCCUAUCACCAAGUGCAUUCUUAGUUCCCACAUGGCACAUGGCAACUUAUAUCUCAUUCUCCCAACACCAAGUCUAUAUACCUUUGUACCGGUCGAAAAUUUGAGCAAAAGGAAAUUGAAAGAAGAGAUCAAAGGAUGAUUUUGAACUGAUAGCACCCCUACGAACUACAGCAAGACACCAAUAAUAACCAAUGGCAAUACUGAUUUCUAAUCACAAAUUAUUGCAUUAAGCACUGAGAGGUUAAUUCUCCAAGAUAACAGAUAAGGUUGAACAUGAUCUUGAAGUUCCACAACAUUCAGUCAAUUGUGUCAAUAUGGCGGCAGACGAUUCAAAAUUCAAACAAUACAUACGAUAUUUUUGUUCCGACAAUGUGAUGGAGAAUGGAUGCGAGAAGGAGAUUUCCUAUCCUAGCAGGAAAAGGAGGGAAACGGAUACUCAAUUUAAAGUGAGUAAACAGAAUUCCAUACUCGAUCUCAGCUAGGGUUAUGAACUUAUAAUCUAUAAUCUGAUGAUCGAGUCGAUUCCAUGAUUAUAAGUUCAUUCCAUACCGGACCAGACCUAUCGAACUAGUAUACCCCUUUAUCAACGAAAAAUAGACACAAUGUAACUUUAUUGCAUUGGAAAAAAAUAUGAUGUGGACCGUGGAUUAUCUUGGGGAAAGGAUUAAUAUUUGUUUGAUUCUUUUCGUAAUAAUUACUUUUAGUAAUAAUGAAACUAUUUUGUUCGUAGGAACAAAAAGAAGCAGAUCUAUUCUACACCCGAUAAGUACCAAUACGCAAUGGUAGGGGAGUUGAUACCAUUUUAUAUGAGUGAAUGCAUAUAUAUAUAUAUAUAUAUUUGUUCAUCAUCCAAAGGACUUAUUUGUAAGAAUUUUCCUUUAUUCAUUUUGUCUUCUUUAUCUUUUUUUAUGAACUUUAUCAAUCUAUGGAUAAAAUAUGAUAAAAGGCCAAUAUUAUUAGGACAAUAAACCCAUUGUUACGCUUUCACAUCAAAGUGAGACAUAGUACUUAAUUUUCUUUUAUUUAAUGCCUAUUGGUGUUCCGAGAGUACCUUUUCGAAGUCCCGGAGAGGAAGAUGCAUUGUGGAUUUCUUUUAUCACUUAGGAGCCGCUUUCUAGACGAUCCCUAAUAGAAAAGAGGGGGAUUAUAAAAAUCUGUCUAGUUACUUCGUUCUCUAUUUCUAUUUGAGAGAAUCCUUAGGAAAAGCAUUUUGUUUCCACCAAUAUCAUUAUUUGCAUUUUGCAUAAGGUUUUACAGUAAGGACCAUUCACUUUUUAUCAUCAUAAGAGGGAGAAAAAUCUAUAUUGACGUUUCUUCAGACGAAUGCUUUGCCUUCAUUUCCCCGAACUCUUGCAAAUAACUCUCCAUCAUUACCUUUCUUUCACCUUUUUACUAAACUAGUUAAGCUGUGCAUCAAAGUUCAGAAAUGAGCAGCAUGGCAAAGCGAGUAGAAAAAAGCACUUUUCAGAAAGGGAAGUUUCAGUGACAUUUCUGAGAAGGAUCAAAGAUAGUUAGGUGGGGACUUGACAAAAAGAAAAUGGAAUAGCUUUGUGUUCAAUUUUUAUUAUAUAUGUAUCUAUGAUCAGCUAGCAACUCAUUGGCUUGAGUUAAGGUCACUACCAUAUGUCUGCAACCAUAGUGACCAUAUGGUUGACACAGACAUAUCCUUGUUCCUUUCUUAAGUUUCUCCAUUCUCAAUAUAUAUCCCACACAGGGACAAGGACAUGUCUGCAACCGCUUGGGGAACGAACACUUUAUUAUAUAUAAAAUAAAAAAUUAUUAAAAAAUUUCCAAAAUUCCUCAUAUAUGAAGGAGAACACUUUGCAAAUGUAAAAAAUUCCUUAGGAAAUCCAAAAAGAAAUAAGGGCAUUUUUGUCUAUUUUAGCUUAUUUUACAAAUAUUUCUCUCUCUUUUGACCUUUUUCAAAAUGUUCCAAAAUAUUAGUGGAAGUAUGAAAGCGAUAGUAAAAAUAAACGUUGAGAAUGAAAAUGAGAAGAAAAAACUUCAUGUAGUAAAGUCAGAAAACUUUCACUUUUGAAAAAAGUCAAAAAUUUUCUAAAGAAGACAGAAAAAUUUCUCAAUUUUCAAACCAAGAUAUGUAAAUAUAAAAUUUUUUUAAGGAAAUUCAAAAAGAAAUAAGGGCAUUUUUGUCUAUUUUAGUUUUUUUUACAAAUAUUUCUCUCUCUCUUUUGACCUUUUUCAAAAUGUUUCAAAAUAUUAAUGGAAGUAUGAAAGUGAUAGUAAAAAUAAACGUUGAGAAUGAAAAUGAGAAGAGAAAACUUCAUGUAAAAUUUGCAGAUGGUAAAGUAAAAUUUACCUAAUAUAAUAUUGGCUUCUGAAAUAGGAUGAGAUUGAAAUAACAAUAAGAUGGGAUCAGAUUGUUGCAAUACAAUUUUAUUUCUUUAAAUUGAAAAAAAGAUGAAGAGUAGAAGAAACUAACCUCACAACUGUCUCUUGGGACAUCUCCAUAAUUGCUGAAGCCAUUAAUAGCCCCUCCUGCAAUAUAGAGAAUCGAAAACUUAAUUAAUUAUACAAUAAAAAAUAUAUAUAUUAUGUAUAAUUUUAAUCUCUGUAAAAUUUGGGCGGAUAUAUGCUUCUGAAUACCUGAUCACCAGUUUAAUAUUUUGCAAAAUGAGUGCUUCGACACAGAGGGAGCUGAAGGUGGAAUUUAUACAAAUAUAUAGUAUAAUAUUACACUGUAGCUUGAGUCCCUACGUGAGUCAAUUAACAAUUGUCAAAAAUACCUUAACGAAAAGUAGCUUAAUACUGCAGUAUAAACGAAAAGUAGGAAUUUUUAUUUUUAAUUUAUAAUUAUUUUAUAAUUUUAUAAUUGUUAAUUGAUUCUUUUAAUUUAUUUUAUCUAUUUUAUUUUAUUUUAUCAGUUGAUGUGGCUUUUAUAUAUGAUCUGAUUGUCUUCUUAUUCAAUGACUCUCUUGAAGUUUCUUCUUUCUUUUUUGGUUGGAUUAAAAAAAAAGGCUCAUAAUAAGGGCCCAAUUUCUCUUGCCUAUGUAAAGGCUCUCUCACACUAGACAAGGCAGAUACUAGUUCUUUACUUUGUGCUAAUUACUGCCUUAAUCUUGUUGAUCCAAUAUGGUUGUACAAGUAUUAUGAUAUGGGUACACGAUCUUGUUUAAUUUUCUUCCUUUUUGAUCCAAUUUUGAACAUCAACAUUUUUCAGCAUUGUAGAACAUAUUGCACCAGGAGAAUUGUCACCACGUACGAAAGAAUGCAUCGAUCCAUAAUGAGCCUUAUGUCAUAGAAAAUUUAAUUAGGUGUUUUAUUUAUCUAUUUGUAGUACCUGAUUUUGAUAUGUUGUUUAUGAUGUGUUUUCAGUUGGGCAGUUGAGGAAUCUGCGACUGGAGAUGAAGGUUAUAGACCAAGGAGAGGAUGGCCAACAAUAGUAGAGAGCAUUUUUUAUCGAGGUCGGUCAUUUCUUCCACAGUGGGAGAGGGCAUUUUUGGCAUCAUGUUUAUUUGGGGUCUUAAUAGAUCCUUUACUAUUUUAUAUUCCUAUCGUCAACAAGGAUACCAAGUGCAUCAGGUUGGACAACAGUUUGAAGGGAGCGGUUAUUUCCCUACGAUCGAUAAUGGAUCUAUUUUAUGUAGUGAACAUUGUUAUUCAAAUUUAUGCCGAACUUAAAGUUCCAACAUUUAGGGUCAUGGGGAGAUCAUAUCUCCGUACCAUAGUUUUAACAAAAGGAACCAUAUUAGUUGAAGAUGCUUUGGCAAUGGCUAACAGGAUUUGGAGGAUCUCAUCACACAUCUUAAUUGACAUUUUAUCGGUUCUUCCCAUUCCACAGGUAUGAGAAAAUUGGUUUACCAAUCUCUCUUUUAAAAGUAUUUGAAAUUCGGAUAUGUGAAUAUAAGCUAAAUUAACUGUUGGCUUAAUCCAUUGCACUGUGUCCAGGCAGUGAUCCUUAUCUUCAUGGACUCUAGUUCUUUGAAUACGAGGAAGUUUUUGGCUUUUCUUGCUCUGUUGCAAUAUGUACCACGAGUUCUUCGUAUCUACUUAUUGUGUACCAAACUCAACAAGCCUCCUGCUAAAGAGACUGAGAUAUGGAUUUUAUUUCAAGGCGCUUUCAGUUUCUUUUUGUACAUCCUUGCUAGUCAUGUAAGUUUCAAUCUUCAUGUAGUAAUUUAUCUCAAGUGAUGCUCCAUUUAGUUUCCAAGUUUUGGUUGGAUUUCUUGGCUGGAAACCUUGUCACCAAUUUAUGAACAAAAUGAACAUCAUUUAAUUUCCUAUGAAUUAUAUAUACUUUGCAGAAACGUUUCUCAAAAGUUUGUUCACUAACUUGUUGAUGUUCUUAGGUAUUUGGAGCUUUCUGGUACUUUUUAGCUAUCCAGCGAGAGACGGUUUGCUGGCAAAAUGCUUGUCGAAACAACAAUGGAUGUCAACCUACUACCUUCUACUGCAAUGGUCGUUCAAUCAGAAACAUCACAUUUCCGGACGACUUAUGCUCUAUGAAUCCACACAAUACUAAUGCAACACCCUUUGAUUUUGGUAUGUUUGUUGAGGCUGUCCAGUCUGGUGUGUUGGAGUCAACAAAUUUACCGAAAAAAUUCUUUCAUUGUUUCUGGUGGGGCUUGCGAAAUCUAAGGUUUGAACAUAAUUUUGCAUUACUGUAUUUUUUAGAAGGAACAAAUUUACAACUGUCUGGAUCCUAACGUUACUCUUUUACGUUGCCUAAAAUCACACACACAUAUGUAUAAAUGGUGUUUUAACUUGUAAUGUCUUUAACAUAGAUGAGAGGUCCUAGAAUAUUUUAUUACUUGCAGCACAUUGAAUUUAUUACUUGCAGUAAAUUGAAUAUAUUUCUUCUGUUUCGAAUCUGCAGUUCUCUCGGGCAAAACCUCGAGACGAGUAACUAUACAUGGGAAAAUAUCUUUGCCAUUUUUAUUUCUCUAAGUGGCUUGCUCCUGGUUGUACUAUACCUCCCUACAAAUUUGAAGGUUGGUGCCAGAACUUCUAAAUUAAACAUAAUGUAUCUUAAUUAACUUAGGGUUCGAAUGGGAGUGGUUCUGAAUAAGCAAAAAAUACUUCUCCAUAGAAUCACUUUAAGUAGUUUUAAGUGAUUUUCUGGAGAAUGACAUAAGAUAUGCUUCUCCCCUAAAGUGAUUUUAGGAGGGCAGAAUUUUUCCCAAAUGGCUCUUGGAGUUUUGUUGUAAGGAUCUCAAUCUUGGAGUUCAUCAAACAAUUAUUUUGGCUUAAUAAAGCUAGAUGGUGAUAUUUUUUUAUAAAAAAUAAAAUCGAAAAAUUAUAUAGAGACUAGAUGUCGUUUGACAAAUUGGUCAUUGGCAAAGCUAGAUGGUGUUGACAUGGAAAUUAGGGUUAAAAGAACUCAUGAUUGUCAUGUAACAGAUACGUAUGGAGUUGGUAACUAGAACAUCAGCCAAGAUGAGAAAUAUACAGCAGCAGGAAACGAAAUAUCGAGAGGUACUACGCUGGUUAUCUGAAAAUAACAUCCCUGAGGAUAUGAAGGGGACGAUCAUGCAAAAGGUGGACGAACAACUUGAACCAAACAAAGAUGUUCAUGUGGAGAAUAUCCUCCAUAUUCUUCCCUUGGAACAAAAGGGAUUUAUUAAGCGACAUCUCUGCUGGCCUAUAAUGAAGGAAGUAAGUUCCCCUCAUCUCCAAAGCGUUCAAUUUUUCGUUACUUUAAUUAGUAAAGGGAGAUGUUAGAUGUUAUUGGAACUCCAAAAUAGUCGUCUCCUUUCUUGUUAUUUUUAGAAUUUGUAGUUUAACAUGUCGUACUGUUUAACUUUCUUAAUUAACAUCUAAAAUUAGGUGCCAAUGCUUCGAGUUAUGGACGAUGAAGUGUUGAAAGAAAUCUUUGACAAUCUUAAGCCAGUGAGCUAUACAGAAGACAACCAUAUAAUUGUUGAGGGUGAACCACUUGUUAAAAUGCUCUUCAUCACUCAAGGCAUUUUGUUGACCUACACUAGAAACAAUGAUGCUGGAACCACCGAGUGUCUUGACAAAGGUAAGUUCUUUGGAGACGAGCUUCUGAUCUGGGCAUCAACAUUCUCCCCGUUUUCGGCCUUACCCAUCUCCACCAGAUUUGUCAAGCCCCUCACAAAAGUUGAAGCGUUUGCACUCAAGGCCAAUGACUUGAAGAUUAUAGCGUCUAAAUUCCCAGAGGCAUUUCGGAACAGAUGAUGAGAGAUGAUGGUACAAUCCAGUUGAUGACUAUUAUGACUCAUCCGGUCCACCUGGAGGACGGUGGAGUUUGAACUUGAGUCACUACUAGAAUAUGUAUUGAGUCAUUUUUCCUUAAACUACACAACUUUAGAAUCGUGCUCAAUGCUAUAUAUUUUAUUAUAAAAUAAAAAAAAAUUACACAACCCAGUUGCUACUUGCUUAGGCUGGAUUCCACACUCUUUUUGUUUUCACAAAAAUUGCAAACAUGAAAAAUUUGACGAAUAAACAAUCACAUUGAAUUUGAAAUUUCAGCAAAUUAGUAUUCGGAGCAUACGAAUGCAAUGAUAGAAUAUUUUCACAAGAACCAAGCGACCAAAUUUUGAAACAAGGAAAAUCACUAAAUACAUAAAACUUAAGAAACCAAAAACAACCAAAUCAAAUAACAAUAACAUUAAUUGAAAUUCCGUAAGGGUAUCACCCAUCCAUUCCUAAAUGAAAUUCAAAUUUGAAAAACAACAUAGGACAUCAAACACGGGUUGCUGACCUGUAGAACAUCUCAGGAUUGCAUGGCCUCUAAUGCCUCGGUUUUGUAAUACUCCCAGUCGCCGAGAACCCAUACCCACCAAAGCUUGACAUCAAGGGUCUAAUUUGCAUUUUCCACUUCAAGGAUAUGGGGAUAGAGGGAGAGAGCUAUCAAAAAAAAAAAAAAAAAGUGAAAGGAGAUUUGAGCAGUAGAGUGGAUCUGAUUUGGAGGCAGCAGCGAGACAGAGAGAGGGGUAGAUGCGACAGAAGAACGACUGAGAGGUUCUUUUGGGGAGGGGAUAGAGAACCGAUGAGAAGUUCUUAACAAGUUCUUUUGUGGGGAGAAAGAAGGCUUGAAUCAAGAAGGAUGGGUUAGAUAUGUUCUGGGGUUGGAAAAGAUUAGGGGAGGCGUGUGUUUUUAAACUUUGCUAUCAAUUAAAAAUAAAACAUAUUUAUUUUUUCUUUUGUUCUUUUUUAACUUUGAAGAUAAAAAGAAAUAGGGAAAUAACUGGGCUGUGUAAAAAAAAAAAAUAGAAAUAACUGGGCACAAAUGUAGUUUUUGUGUUUUAGCGUUGUUACAUCUGUCAGAUAAAGACACAAUUAUUUGUGUCCAAUAAAAAUUUGUGCUUUAUGUAAAUUGAUUCGACACAAUUAUUUGUGUUUCAUACAAAAAGAGCACGAAUAAAACUUAUUUGCGCUCAAUGUUAGAGAAAAGGGCACCCAACCU
rnacentral:lncRNA from 1 species